rnacentral:snRNA from 3 species
GCACCGAAGAGAGAAGCAUCUGAUAAUAUUGGAACGAUACAGAGAAGAUUAACAUGGAAGGAUGACACGCACAAAUUGAGAAGCGAGCGGCACAUGC